GGAUCCCGUAGGAAUACACUGCAAUGAACAUUAUUCUGCAGGGUCCCACGAAGACGGUGCGGUAUACGAGCUUUAUGAAGGUGUGAAAGGUUAUUAAUUUGAGCCCGUUAGACAGCACACACGUCUGAAUUCAGACAAAGUAGCUGGCGACCAAGAUGCCGACACAGCAGUCAGACCCACUGUGGAGGAUAUGCCUCGUGUUGAAAAUAUCGACUGGUGUCUUUAUGCAGCUAACGACCUCACACAGGCGCAUCUGAUUCAGGAUCAUACAUGGGCAGGAGGUGGACUUUUGAAGGUGGACUAACAAGUCUUUGAGGAUGAUCUCUCUCACAGUGGACAUGCACCUACGAUGGAAAUUUCAGACUCCUCCAUGAUUCCUAAGCGGCAGAGCUCUCAAUAUAGACCUCGGGACAGCAUGCAACCUUGAUGACGGUGCUCUCGGGUCGGCGUGACAUCGGGAAGGAGGCGCUGGGCCAUCUCAGUCCCGUCCUGUGCUGUGCUCGUACCCUCCGGAAAG